rnacentral:rRNA from 1 species
AGCGAACGCUGGCGGCAGGCUUAACACAUGCAAGUCGAACGGGCAUCUUCGGAUGUCAGUGGCAGACGGGUGAGUAACACGUGGGAACGUACCCUUCGGUUCGGAAUAACUCAGGGAAACUUGAGCUAAUACCGGAUACGCCCUUUUGGGGAAAGGUUUACUGCCGAAGGAUCGGCCCGCGUCUGAUUAGCUUGUUGGUGGGGUAACGGCCUACCAAGGCGACGAUCAGUAGCUGGUCUGAGAGGAUGAUCAGCCACACUGGGACUGAGACACGGCCCAGAAUCCUACGGGAGGCAGCAGUGGGGAAUAUUGGACAAUGGGCGCAAGCCUGAUCCAGCCAUGCCGCGUGAGUGAUGAAGGCCUUAGGGUUGUAAAGCUCUUUUGUCCGGGACGAUAAUGACGGUACCGGAAGAAUAAGCCCCGGCUAACUUCGUG